ACCAAAUUCACAUUUAUGGAACAGGGAUUGACUUCUGGGCAGGUCAUUUCUCUCGUCAAACAGAAUGAGUUUAGUGACCUUUAGUGAAGGGAAGGUACUGGGAUGUCUGGUCUGUUCAGCAGGGUUUAUGGUCCGUGCUGUCCUUGCUCCUUGGGACCUCCCUACCCCAUUGAAGUUGGCAUUUUAAAAUACUUUAGGUUAAGGUAACAGUAGGGAUUAAGGUUAGGGUUAAGGUAACAGUAGGGAUUAGGGUUAGGGUUAAGGUAACUGUAGGGAUUAAGGUUAGGGUUAAGGUAACUGUAGGGAUUAAGGUUAGGGUAACAGUAGGGAUUAAGGUUAGGGUUAAGGUAACUGUAGGGAUUAAGGUUAGGGUAACAGUAGGGAUUAAGGUUAGGGUUAAGGUAACUGUAGGGAUUAAGGUUAGGGUAACAGUAGGGAUUAAGGUUAGGGUUAAGGUAACUGUAGGGAUUAAGGUUAGGGUAACAGUAGGGAUUAAGGUUAGGGUAACAGUAGGGAUUAAGGUUAGGGUUGAGGUAACUGUAGGGAUUAAGGUUAGGGUUAGGGUAACAGUAGGGAUUAAGGUUAGGGUUAGGGUAACAGUAGGGAUUAAGGUUAGGGUUAGGUUUAGGGUAACAGUAGGGGUUAAAGUUAGGGUUAGGGUAACAGUAGGGAUUAAGGUUAGGGUUAGUUUAGGGACAUCCCAAGGAUCCCAGAUAGCACUGACCCAAGGUUUACAGUAACAAGGAAGUGCUGGUCGGUGACUGUUGGGUCAGAGUAGGGAAAUCACUUCAGUUUAAAUGGGUAUAAAAUACAGGAUAUACUGUAUGUAAUGUAGGCCACAUACGGACCGUUUCCACCAUCUCUCGCUGGGUGUGUGUGUGUCAUCAUUGUUUGAGAGCUUCCUGUGGCUCAGUUGGUAGAGCAUGGAGUUUGCAACGCCAGCAUGGUGUGUGCAACGCCAGGGUUGUGGGUUCGAUUCCCACGGGGCCAGUACAAAAAAUAAAUACAAAAAAUAAAUAAAUGCAUGAAAU
rnacentral:lncRNA from 1 species